AGCGAGCAUUAGAAGAACCAAAUGCUUCAUUCCCUCCUGUGAAACAGGGAGGAAUUUAACCCCAAAAGAUGCAGAGCUGGUGGUAGCAAGACAAGGAGCUGCCCUUGGCAUCCACGGGACUUCCCCAAUUAGCAAUCUCCUCCAGCACCUACCCUGCAGUCAGACCCAAGAAUGGGGCUGCAGAUCUGGAUACCUGAAGCUGGUCACCUGGCUGGGUCUGUGGCAGGACGAGCACUACUGAGGUGAAGGUGCAGUGAGGGGGAACAGACUCCCUGAAACCUGAGUGAGUUUGGAUUUAGCUGCAGGGUAGACCCCUGCCUGUGGAAGAGUUUUGAUUUCGGAGCCCAAACUUGUGUACUCAACACUUGGCUCCUGCAUCGUGGCUUCACAACAAAGCAACUUCCCUGCAUCAGGAAGUUCAGGCUGCAGUCUGGGAUCCAGGCUCUCACCUCAUGGAGUUCCUCUUGCAACGCAGGGACCAGCCUGAGCUCCACCUGCACCCAGGGAGGAGAAGGAUUUCAGUAGUUUGCUCUUGGAGGUAAAGUGGGAUGGUAGAGAUGUCAGAAAAUGUACAAAAUGUAUUGGAAAAAAAAAAAACCCGGCUCAUUAAGAUGUACUCCUGAUGCCUUUCCAAAGUGUCAGCCUCAUCUGGUGAACCUGGUGACACUUGCUGAAGAGCAAAGACACUCAGCACCACAUUUAACCUGGAGGCCAGCCCCUAAGAGUUAAUAAGUGAAAGGAACAGCCUGGAGUGGUGAUCACCUGCCAGGGACCUGCGGGUGUCGCUGGUAGGAUGUCACCUGGUCACAGCAGAGCGGGGUGAGCCGAGCACUCUCCAUAAAUGGUGCUGGUGACCCUUUGUAGACAAAGGGGUUUUGUAGAAGCUGGCACGACAGUGAAAGGCUCCUUUGCAGAAGGCAAAGAAGGAGCAAAACUAAGAGUAAAUAGACUGGGAGAGUUGCAGAAUAAGUAGCAGUGGGCAAAGACCCCGUGGUUUUUACAUCUCCCUUUUUUGUCUGACUUUCAUGAUGCAGACUAGAUGAUGUGCCAUGGACCCCCAUCGGGCUACCCCCUUGUAGGACCCAAGGUUUUUGUAGCCAGCAGUGUACAUGGUGUGAUGUGCUGCUGCUCAUGCCUGCCUUUAAUUCCAUAGUCCAAAAGGCUAAGUACUUAUUUUCAUCUGAGUGAAGUAGAGAUAGCCUCCAGCUCCAGUCCAGAGCAAUGUUCAAACUACACCUUUGUAAUCAGGAUACUCUCAGGCUCUCUGCUGCAUCUUAGUGAUGAAUAUGGGAGAGGAUUUGUGACUACAUGCAUUUAGACCAGACUCCUAAGAAGGCAGGGACAGAAAAGGAAAGCAGAGGUCCUUUUAAGAUCAGUUCUAACAAAAAUUUAGUUAAAGAGGGAUUUUUUUUUCUUUUGUUAUUGAGAGUUACCUAAAUUUCCCCAUCUCUUCCAGCACUGCAUUUGAUGCAGAGUCAAUACUGAGAUGAUCAGCUCUGAUGCAGAAGCUGAAAUCCAAACAAUUUCUCCCUCCUAAUUUGGAGAUCAGAUUGCCCAUUUGAUUCAUGUAUACAGGCUUAAGCAUUCGAGAAAACAAAACAUGAUUUUUCCCCCUUCUCCUAUGUCUGCCUUUGAGCUGAGGAAGAGUUUUCUAUCAAGCAAUUCAAGCUGUGGAAAAGUACCCUGACCACCUCACUGUUAUUUAUGAUCCCCAAAAUCUUGCUCCUGGUACCAGAGAUGAGAAACUUGGAUCCACAUUGAGAAAAUCACUUGGCCUUAUGCUAAUCUCGAUCAAACUGUUGACACUGACAUUAAGCAAACAUACUGGGGUGUAAUUACAUUUCACACUGAUCUAUGAAAUAUUCAUGUAAUAAUAACGAACACAUACAUGCAAUCAUACAAUAUCAUCAUCAUAAACUGUGGUCAAAUACAUAUGAUAUUUGCAAUGCUUAUACCUUGUUCAUAUAAAUAAAUAUUCAUUAGAACUGAAACUAAUUACUGCAUGGUUGAUGACAGCUGAGAAUAUUAAGCACCACUACUGAAUUAUGCCUUCAAAGGCAAUGAAAUGACAUUCAUUUUUAAGUUGGGUCAGUUUAUGUGUCCAGCUAUGAUAAUAUUUUCUUUCCAAUGGAAAGAAUAAUGUUUAUACUAAUUGUCAUGAGAAUGUCUAAGCAUUUUCUGUGACUAGUAAUCAAAUUAGGGAGCUGCAAGUGUCUGUAACUACACCAAUGUUAGUCUAUUUUCAUAUUUAAAAUUGGCCUUUCCCACAGCUCAUUCAAGUUUAUGUUCUAGCCACAUGUCCCACAGAUAAAUAAACAGAUGCUCCAUAUAAAGAGUUAGAUCAUAUUCUGAAUGAGUGAGGAACAUAUGUCAUCAUUAAGGGAAGCUUCAGUGCCAACGCUGGCAUUAAGGUAGAGGAAAGAAAACAAGGAAGAACUUGAAAUAGAGCAACAUAAUCCCAAGGAAGUUGUCAAAACCAGAAGAGAGGUUAUUUGUGCUAGAGUUGGCAAGAAAAUGUUGUUCGGCAGUUCUUACUGAAAAACAAAAGAAUAGCUAGAGGAAAUUUUGAUUUUUAAUUAAAAAACAUCCUCUGUUGUUAGUAGCUCUGGCCUAAAACCAAAGAGAAUGUUUUUUUACCUUAACAUGCCAAAUCCCUAUGUUUUGUUUGCACUGAACUUUUUGUGUAGUGUUUGAGGUGCCCAGUUUUCCAGUGAAAACAAGAAAACAAAACUGAAAUUUCCCAAGAAUAUUUCUUUGUUGGAAAUCUGAUUUUUUUUUCAAGUGAGAAAUUUUCAUGUAAGUUUUUUUUUACAUGCUGCUGAUGAAAGGAGGAUAUCCAGAUAUAGCUGAUGAUAGAUCUUCGCUGUCUGAAUGCAACCAGAUGACAUUGCUUUUAUUGUUACUGUAGUGUUGUGUGCUUCAUAAAUAGAGACUGGAAAGACAGUUCAUGCCCAAGAGAUCAUUGUAAUCUAAAUAUAAGUCUAGAGUCUUUAUUUAUAAAAUGUACAGAAUCAGGGGUUUUUAAUUGCAUGCAGAAAUAUUGUUCAGAGAAAAGUACUAUGCACACAUAGAAAGAAUUUGAGUUCUGAAGUUUUGAGAAAAUCAUAAGUGAAAACUCAUGCUAUAAGUGACAACAAAAAAAAAAGAAGAAGAGAAAAAGUUAUCUGCAAAUACCUUAAGGAUUUAUCUGUAAUUCAAUCAUAGCAAAUGAGCAGAGGACUGACACAGAAAACCUGGAAAAGACCAAAGAUUCCCCUGAAGAACGAAAAGAGGGAGGUGAAAUCAGUGAUGGGCAGAGAUCACUGAUGCAAUCAGGGGGUUUAUGCAGGAUAUUGAUCCAGGUGAUGGUUGAUUUCCCUAAAUAACAAUCUUUCUAGGAUA